rnacentral:rRNA from 1 species
AGUGAACGCUGGCGGUAGGCCUAACACAUGCAAGUCGAACGGCAGCACAGUAAGAGCUUGCUCUUACGGGUGGCGAGUGGCGGACGGGUGAGGAAUACAUCGGACUCUACUUUUUCGUGGGGGAUAACGUAGGGAAACUUACGCUAAUACCGCAUACGACCUACGGGUGAAAGCAGGGGAUCUUCGGACCUUGCGCGAUUGAAUGAGCCGAUGUCGGAUUAGCUAGUUGGCGGGGUAAAGGCCCACCAAGGCGACGAUCCGUAGCUGGUCUGAGAGGAUGAUCAGCCACACUGGAACUGAGACACGGUCCAGACUCCUACGGGAGGCAGCAGUGGGGAAUAUUGGACAAUGGGCGCAAUCCUGACCCAGCCAUACCGCGUGGGUGAAGAAGGCCUUCGGGUUGUAAAGCCCUUUUGUUGGGAAAGAAAAGCAGCAGGUUAAUACCCCGCUGUUCUGACGGUACCCAAAGAAUAAGCACCGGCUAACUUCGUG